UACAGAGGUCCCAAGCGUUGUUCGGAUUCACUGGGCGUAAAGGGUGCGUAGGCGGUCGGGUAAGUCUGAUGUGAAAUCUCGCAGCUUAACUCGAAACUGCAUUGGAUACUAUCCGGCUCGAGGAAUGGAGGGGAGACUGGAAUACUUGGUGUAGCAGUGAAAUGCGUAGAUAUCAAGUGGAACACCAGUGGCGAAAGGCGAGUCUCUGGACAUUUUCCCUGACGCUGAGGCACGAAAAGCCAGGGGGAGCAAAACGGGG
rnacentral:rRNA from 1 species